CUACGGAGGGGGCUAGCGUUGUUCGGAAUUACUGGGCGUAAAGCGCGUGUAGGCGGAUCGUUAAGUCAGGGGUGAAAGCCCGGGGCUCAACCCCGGAACUGCCCUUGAUACUGGCGAUCUAGAGUCCGGAAGAGGUGGGCGGAAUUCCCGGUGUAGAGGUGAAAUUCGUAGAUAUCGGGAGGAACACCAGUGGCGAAGGCGGCUCACUGGUCCGGCACUGACGCUGAGACGCGAAAGCGUGGGGAGCAAACAGGAUUAGAAACCCCAGUAGUCC
rnacentral:rRNA from 1 species